UUUCACUUGUGUACUUAUUCUAUUGUAGAAAAGCAAUGCAAAGGCAUGUGAAUUUACAAGCUACAGAGAGCUAGUACAUUGUGCUGAAUCUGGCGUUGCCUACAGAAGUUGUCGAAAAUCAGCAUGGGAAGAGGAAAAGCAUUUCUGGAUUUUUCAAGCAUGCACAUUCACUGUAGGCAUUGUCGCAAUUAUUGUAACCAUGCUAAGACAGCAUAAAAUGCACCAACAGACAUUGCAGCGCAUACAGAAGCAAAUUGGAGAGUCUCUUAUGUGAUGAUGGAUACUGAAUGAAGGCUGCAUACUUUUACCAUCACCUGAUCUGUACCGUAUAAUACUGAAUAAACAUGUUGUUACUAGAUCUA